UACGUAGGGGGCAAGCGUUGUCCGGAUUUAUUGGGCGUAAAGAGCGUGUAGGCGGCUAGGUAGGUCCGUUGUGAAAACUCGAGGCUCAACCUCGAGACGCCGAUGGAAACCAUCUGGCUAGAGUCCGGAAGAGGAGAGUGGAAUUCCUGGUGUAGCGGUGGAAUGCGCAGAUAUCAGGAGGAACACCGGUGGCGAAGGCGGCGUUCUGGACUGCAACUGACACUGAGGAACGAAAGCCAGGGGAGCAAACGGG
rnacentral:rRNA from 1 species